CACAGGUCAAAUCAUGGUCACAGUGAAGGAGCAGGAUCUGCUGAAGGGCAACCAGUGCAUUUUCCUGAGCCAAACUAGCCAUUUGAAUACCGGUGGAACUAGCUGGGUUGGAUAUCCCUACUGGUCCCAUGAGAAUCCAUGAAAGAAAUGAGUCCUGUUUGCCUGCUCCCUGCUCUGCUGCAACUAAGCCUCGUUGCAUCAAAAUGUCUCAAAAUUCCACAUCAGAGUCACACUAGCCUUCUGUUUUGUCCUGCCUCCAGAUCUUCACAUCUGCUGUUGUACCAUCCUGGAAGAUGAUUCCCUUCCUUCAUCUGGCUAACUCUUAGCCAGUCGUCCCAUCUCUGGUCAAAGCUGUCCCUACUGUUGUCUUGCCUGGCUGGCCCCAAUCUAGUUCACCUAAGCUCCACCUUCAGCGAUCAGAACCCAUAGUGCUCUUUGUGGGACCUGGACCCCAAGGAAGAAGAAUGUGUGUCCCUGCACAUUCACAUGACUGUAUUUGUGUGUGUUGGGAAGGCUACUUGUGUGAGGGAGGAGAGAAAAUACAUCCAGUUUUCUCCAGAAUCACAACCUGGAAAGAAGAGGAGUCAGGAGGCUGAGGUCUAGGACUCUGAUGUGGUUUGGCUGUGUCCUCACCCAAAUCUCAUCUUGAAUUGUAGCUCUCAUAAUACCCAUAUGUUGUGGGAAGGACCUGGUGGGAGAUAACUGAACCAUGGGGAUGGGUUUUCCCCUGCUGUUCUCAUGGUAGUGAAUAAGUCUCACGAGAUCUGAUGAUUUUAAAAGGGGAAACCCCUUCCACUUGUCCAUGAUUCUCUCUUGUCUGUCGCCAUGUAAGACGUGCUUUUGUUUCUGCCAUGAUUGUGAGGCUGCCAUGUGGAAUUGUGAGUCCAUUAAACCUCCCAGUCACGUGGAACUGUGAGUCCAUUAAACUUCUUUUUCUUUACAAAUUAC
rnacentral:lncRNA from 10 species